GACGGAGGAUGCAAGUGUUAUCCGGAAUCACUGGGCGUAAAGCGUCUGUAGGUGGUUUAAUAAGUCAACUGUUAAAUCUUGAGGCUCAACCUCAAAUCGCAGUCGAAACUAUUAGGCUAGAGUAUAGUAGGGGUAAAGGGAAUUUCCAGUGGAGCGGUGAAAUGCGUAGAGAUUGGAAAGAACACCGAUGGCGAAGGCACUUUACUGGGCUAUUACUAACACUCAGAGACGAAAGCUAGGGUAGCAAAUGGG
rnacentral:rRNA from 1 species